rnacentral:rRNA from 1 species
GUGGGGAAUCUUCCGCAAUGGACGAAAGUCUGACGGAGCGACGCCGCGUGAGUGAAGAAGGCCUUCGGGUCGUAAAGCUCUGUCAUCGGGGACGAAUGGUCGAUGGAGUGGAAAGCCAUUGAAAUGACGGUACCCGAGAAGGAAGCCACGGCUAACUACGUGCCAGCAGCCGCGGUAAUACGUAGGUGGCAAGCGUUGUCCGGAAUUAUUGGGCGUAAAGCGCGCGCAGGUGGGAUCUUAAGUCUAUUUUGAAAGUUCGGAGCUUAACUCCGUGAUGGGAUAGAAACUGGGAUGCUUGAGUGCCGGAGAGGAAAGCGGAAUUCCCCGUGUAGCGGUGAAAUGCGUAGAUAUGGGGAGGAACACCAGUGGCGAAGGCGGCUUUCUGGACGGUGUCUGACACUGAGGCGCGAAAGCUAGGGGAGCGAACGGGAUUAGAAACCCCUGUAGUCC